rnacentral:rRNA from 1 species
UACGUAGGGGGCAAGCGUUGUCCGGAUUUAUUGGGCGUAAAGAGCGUGUAGGCGGCCAGACAGGUCCGUUGUGAAAACUCGAGGCUCAACCUCGAGACGCCGAUGGAAACCGUUUGGCUAGAGUCCGGAAGAGGAGAGUGGAAUUCCUGGUGUAGCGGUGAAAUGCGCAGAUAUCAGGAAGAACACCCGUGGCUAAGGCGGUUCUCUGGGCAUUACCUGACGCUGAGGAGCGAAAGUGUGGGGAGCGAACAGG